CCAGGUGCACGACCACCUGUUUCCUAUUCGGACAUGCGUUGCUGGUGACGGCAGGGUGUGAAGCUCCGAAGACAAUGUACCCCCGCUUUGGCGGUGCUCUCUUUACGCGAGUGAACGAGCAGAGACUGCCAGCAGCACGGCGGUUGAGGGG
rnacentral:ncRNA from 1 species